GGGAAAGUACGUGAAAGAGAGAGAUAACAUGUAGAGAAUAUACUGAAUAAUACGGUGACUUCUUAUUGAAAGAAACAGAGAAGAGAUGUUUAUAUAUACAGACAAAGCACCAGAUAAAUGUGCCAACGACUAACUAACAAAACUGAAAAAGAGUAGCUUGAAUUACUAACUAAUAAAAACAAUGUAGUAUUAUGGUAAUAUUUACAAGAACAAGAAAUCAAACCAAAUAUUUAACAAAUCAAACAUGAUUAUAAGUUGUCACUCAUUUGU
rnacentral:lncRNA from 1 species